UUUUAUUAUUGGUUCAAAGACACCCCGAAGUGAAUGGAUAGCUUCGCUCAAAUGGUCCUCUCAUCCCUCAGCAGCACACUUCCGGUGGCACGUUUUGGAAGGGAAAAGCUGGGGUCUGCAUUUCAGUAGAGCCGCUGCGGCCUACCCAACCUUCAAAGGACACACCUUCGUAGACCGUGUCCUUCGAAGGAUGCAGCCCCUGAAUUGAGACACAGCCAAAGUGAGACGCAUCCUUCACGGCGAAGGCAAUCCCAUGAUGCAUUUCACCAGCUCAGAGUUCCAGCGCUCAAAUUUAAAAACAUGGCGGACGGAGCCUGCACUGCGAGGGAGUUUCCUCCCUCGUACAAACGGCUGAACGCGGGCCGUGGAAGGUGAACUCUGGUCAGACCGGCUGGAGGCAGCGUUAGCUCCCAUUAUGAAUAGUUUUUUUCUUUGAAUUUAAUAAAGUUUUCUCUCUUUACAU